rnacentral:rRNA from 1 species
GACGAACGCUGGCGGCGUGCCUAAUACAUGCAAGUUGAGCGAUGAAGAUUGGUGCUUGCACCAAUUUGAAGAGCAGCGAACGGGUGAGUAACGCGUGGGGAAUCUGCCUUUGAGCGGGGGACAACAUUUGGAAACGAAUGCUAAUACCGCAUAACAACUUUAAACAUAAGUUUUAAGUUUGAAAGAUGCAAUUGCAUCACUCAAAGAUGAUCCCGCGUUGUAUUAGCUAGUUGGUGAGGUAAAGGCUCACCAAGGCGAUGAUACAUAGCCGACCUGAGAGGGUGAUCGGCCACAUUGGGACUGUGACACGGCCCAAACUCCUACGGGAGGCAGCAGUAGGGAAUCUUCGGCAAUGGACGAAAGUCUGACCGAGCAACGCCGCGUGAGUGAAGAAGGUUUUCGGAUCGUAAAACUCUGUUGGUAGAGAAGAACGUUGGUGAGAGUGGAAAGCUCAUCAAGUGACGGUAACUACCCAGAAAGGGACGGCUAACUACGUG